UCGGGAAUUUUGGGCAAUGGGCGAAAGCCUGACCCAGCAACGCCGCGUGAAGGAUGAAGUAUUUCGGUAUGUAAACUUCGUAAGAAUAGGAAGAAUAAAUGACGGUACUAUUUGUAAGGUCCGGCUAACUACGUGCCAGCAGCCGCGGUAAUACGUAGGGACCAAGCGUUGUUCGGAUUUACUGGGCGUAAAGGGCGCGUAGGCGGUGUGUCAAGUCAGUUGUGAAAUCUCCGAGCUUAACUCGGAACGGUCAACUGAUACUGUCACACUAGAGUACAGAAGGGGCAAUCGGAAUUCUUGGUGUAGCGGUGAAAUGCGUAGAUAUCAAGAGGAACACCUGAGGUGAAGACGGGUUGCUGGGCUGACACUGACGCUGAGGCGCGAAAGCCAGGGGAGCAAACGGGAUUAGAUACCCGCGUAGUCCCUGAGCGGGCUGGCAAGGCGCAU
rnacentral:rRNA from 1 species